rnacentral:rRNA from 1 species
GAUGAACGCUGGCGGCGUGCCUAAUACAUGCAAGUCGAGCGAACGGACGAGAAGCUUGCUUCUCUGAUGUUAGCGGCGGACGGGUGAGUAACACGUGGAUAACCUACCUAUAAGACUGGGAUAACUUCGGGAAACCGGAGCUAAUACCGGAUAAUAUUUUGAACCGCAUGGUUCAAAAGUGAAAGACGGUCUUGCUGUCACUGAUAGAUGGAUCCGCGCUGCAUUAGCUAGUUGGUAAGGUAACGGCUUACCAAGGCAACGAUGCAUAGCCGACCUGAGAGGGUGAUCGGCCACACUGGAACUGAGACACGGUCCAGACUCCUAGGGGAGGAAGCAGUAGGGAAUCUUCCGAAAUGGGCGAAAGCCUGACGGAGCAAAGCCGCGUGAGUGAUGAAGGUCUUCGGCUCGUAAAACUCUGUUAUCAGGGAAGAACAUAUGUGUAAGUAACUGUGAACAUAUUGACGGUACCUAAUCAGAAAGCCACGGCUAACUACGUG